GACGAACGCUGGCGGCGUGCCUAAGACAUGCAAGUCGAGCGGACACCUUCGGGUGUCAGCGGCGGACGGGUGAGUAACACGUGGAUAACCUGCCUGACUGACCGGGAUAACAGGCCGCAAGGCCUGCUAAUACCGGGUAAGCUCACGGGGGCGCAUGCCUCCGGGAGAAGAGGCGCUGCAAGGCGCUGCGGUCAGCGGGGUCCGCGGCCCAUUAGCUAGUUGGAGGGGUGACGGCCCACCAAGGCGACGGUGGGUAGCCGGCCUGAGAGGGCGGGCGGCGACACUGGGACUGAGGAACGGCCCAGACUCCGACGGGAGGCAGCAGUCGGGAAGUUUGCGCAAUGGCCGAGAGGCUGACGCAGCAACGCCGCGUGAGUGAAGAAGGCCUUCGGGUUGUAAAGCUCUGUUGCCCGUGACGAACGGUGCUUUCAGGAAAUGGGAAGCAUUUGACGGUAGCGGGAGAGGAAGCCCCGGCUAACUGCGUGCCAGCAGCCGCAGUAAGAC
rnacentral:rRNA from 1 species